GAAAGAUGGCUUUGGCUAUCACUCUGGGAUGGACCUGCGGUGCGUUAGCUAGUUGGUAAGGUAACGGCUUACCAAGGCGAUGAUGCAUAGCCGAGUUGAGAGACUGAUCGGCCACAAUGGAACUGAGACACGGUCCAUACUCCUACGGGAGGCAGCAGUAGGGAAUCUUCCACAAUGGGCGCAAGCCUGAUGGAGCAACACCGCGUGAGUGAAGAAGGGUUUCGGCUCGUAAAGCUCUGUUGUUGGAGAAGAACGUGCGUGAGAGUAACUGUUCACGCAGUGACGGUAUCCAACCAGAAAGUCACGGCUAACUACGUGCCAGCAGCCGCGGUAAUACGUAGGUGGCAAGCGUUAUCCGGAUUUAUUGGGCGUAAAGCGAGCGCAGGCGGUUGCUUAGGUCUGAUGUGAAAGCCUUCGGCUUAACCGAAGAAGUGCAUCGGAAACCGGGCGACUUGAGUGCAGAAGAGGACAGUGGAACUCCAUGUGUAGCGGUGGAAUGCGUAGAUAUAUGGAAGAACACCAGUGGCGAAGGCGGCUGUCUGGUCUGCAACUGACGCUGAGGCUCGAAAGCAUGGGUAGCGAACAGGAUUAGAUACCCUGGUAGUCCAUGCCGUAAACGAUGAGUGCUAGGUGUUGGAGGGUUUCCGCCCUUCA
rnacentral:rRNA from 1 species